rnacentral:rRNA from 1 species
GGUCUCCUACGGGAGGCAGCAGUAGGGAAUCUUCCACAAUGGGCGAAAGCCUGAUGGAGCAACGCCGCGUGGGUGAAGAAGGUCUUCGGAUCGUAAAACCCUGUUGAAGGGGAAAAAGAGCGGAGAGAGGAAAUGGUCUCCGAUUGAUAUUACCCUUCGAGGAAGUCACGGCUAACUACGUGCCAGCAGCCGCGGUAAUACGUAGGUGGCGAGCGUUAUCCGGAAUGAUUGGGCGUAAAGGGUGCGUAGGCGGCCUGCUAAGUCUGGAGUGAAAGGUACCGGCUCAACCGGUACAGGCUCUGGAA